UCCUUAGGUAGUGUAGAUUCACAUUUGUCCAAAUCUUGAUUCCAGGGGGCAGGGAGGGGCAUCAAUGGGGAUAAAAUUUUAACAAAGGAAUAUAUAGAAAAAAUUUUAUGUUCAAGAACAGCUAAGCCAUUGUUAUUGAUAUGAAAAUGUCUCCAGGUAGUUAUUCAAACCCCCAUCUCCUCUUCCUAAAUUUUAUACUUUUCAAUACUGGACUAAUUUGUGCAUUUACUAGCCAAUAUGCUUAGGUGAGCAUAUUGGCCAUUGGCCACUAGUUUAUUUUAGAAAUCUUCUCACUUGGUAUGAAGUGCAAGUGAUCCCCUUUUGGUGUCUGUUAAUUUUUAUCUUUUUAAGAGGAAUACUUUUAAGGCUGGACGGGAUCCUGAAGUGAGGAGGACUCCCUCUCUCAUUGAACUGCAUACAGCAGCAGAAAGCAGGAUUUCAGUUCCCCUUUGAUUCAGAAGAGGAACAACAAUGGAGGACCAAGGUCAUUAAUAUAAGAAGAGUCUAUUCCUGUCUGUGUUUUGCAGAAGAAAGUUAAGACUAACUAGGAAUUCUAAGUGAGGAAGAGUCCCUUUCCCAUUCCACUGCAGCCAUGAGGAGAAUACUCUAUUUUCAAGGAAUUUGACAAGGGAAGAGGACCAGUGCUGACCAAGAGAAGAGAAAGAAGAGUCUAUUGCCAAGCUUUGUACAGCAGCCAAUAUCUGAUUAAGGAGUGGGCAGACGGUUAUGCUGGCAUUGAUCCUGUUUCCAAAAGCAGAUCAACAUGAUUCCUCAAGACUCCAAAGAGAUCAACUAUGGGACCUGAAAAUAAAGGCAGACUGCCAUCAAUUUCAUUAUUUCUUUGAUAGCAGACAAAUAUGCUUCAACAAUAGCGCAGAGAGUAAUUGAAGGUUUGGACUGCAAGUGAUGGACACACUAAAUAACUCAAUUAACUCAAAGAAUUCAAU